UUGUGUAUAUAAAUGAACUAAAUUUGAUACAACAUUAAUAUCGAAAAUUCGAAGACUUCAAGAUGAUGAAGAUGAUGUUUUAUCUUACCGUUGUACUUUGCCUUAGUGCUGUGUCUAGUGUACCAACUCGUGAAACGAGCAGAGUUAUAAAAUGGACCCGUGAAAUUGAAAAUCGUCAAAAAAUUGACGAACAUGCGGAAAUUUUCUCAGGUGAACAGAUUCUAAUGAUGUCAAAAGAUAAAGCUUUAAAUGCACAUAAAAUUCAGAGAUCAGAGAGCUGGCAUGAUUAUAAAACAAAAGAGUUAGCAAUCAAAAUUAUCAACCACGCUGCAGGAAGUAAAACAGUGUGUUUUCUUACCAACGUAAAAAAAUCGUAUAGAGAUACAGUGGCUGAUUUAAAUGAACGGGAGGGAAAAACAAUAUCUGCUGUAGGCGAGAGAAAUUUGGUUAUGGAAUCCGGCAAACAAGCUGCGCCAAAUUCGGAAUAUAUCAAGACCUUCUGUAAAGACUCCUCAAUCUAUCAAGUACGGGAAAGUACACUGGGAUCAGAUGUACCACAAACGCCAGAAGCAAAAGCACCAUUUAUAAUUAGAACUUACUGUUUUUAUGGAGGCGUCAAUAUAUUUACACCUUAUGAUUUAUAUAAGUUGAUUUUUACCAUAUUUCCUAUUUUCUAGAGGUAAAGUAAACAUGAAUGACGAAUCAUGAAUUAAGUAUGUUAAUAUUGUAUUUAUUUGUUUGUGUAUUUGUGUUCCUUUUUUUUAAAUGAGGAACGCCCAUUGUUAUGUUAAAUUCACAAUUUGUAAAAAUGUAUUCUAGCAUAAUUAAACUUGUCGACAUAGUCUAGAAAAGCGUAGAAGUCUUAAGUUAUGUAGAAUUUGUGAUAAAGCCAUGGCAUCUGUUAUACUUAACACAGAUGAAAUGAAAUAAGAUUUGACGUCCUACUGUACCACUCCGAUUGGGGUAAUGAA